rnacentral:rRNA from 1 species
AUUGAACGCUGGCGGCAGGCCUAACACAUGCAAGUCGAACGAGUGGCGGACGGGUGAGAAAUGUCUGGGAAACUGCCAGAUGGAGGGGGAUAACUACUGGAAAAGGUAGCUAAUACCGCAUAACAUCGGAUGUGACCAGAUGGGAUUAGCUAGUAGGUGGGUGAACGGCUCACCUAGGCGACGAUCCCUAGCUGGUAUGAGAGGAUGACCAGCCACACGGGAACUGAGACACGGUCCAGACUACUACGGGAGGCAGCAGUGGGGAAUAUUGCACAAGGGGCGUAAGCCUGAUGCAGCCAUGCCGCGUGUAUGAAGAAGGCCUGCGGGUUGUAAAGUACUUUCAGCGGGGAGGCGUUACCCGCAGAAGAAGCACCGGCUAACUCCGUGCCAGCCGCCGCGGUAAUAC